rnacentral:tRNA from 1 species
GGAGAGGUGCUGGAGUGGACUAUCAGGCGCGCCUGGAGAGCGCGUAGGCAGAAAUGCCUCGUGGGUUCGAAUCCCACCCUCUCCGCCA